CAGAUUAGAAGAGUUUUAGCAGAGGUGGAUGAAAGAGACUUGGCCUAAGUGAUUGCUGAAGGGAUACCUGAAAGCGUAUUGGAAGUCUGUGUCACAGUGUGUCUUUUUGGCUGACCUUCAGGAAAACUCCAUUAAUAUAUUCUGAACUGGUCUGAUGUGAAAGUGGUCUUUAGGCCUGAUUUAAAGGAUGCCUUUCUGAUGCUGUACAAUGGGCAAGCUCUGAGCGGUACAAUAGA